rnacentral:rRNA from 1 species
CAGUCGCGGUAACACAAAGAGGGCGAGCGUUAAUCAUAAUGGUUUAAAGGAUCCGUAGAAUGAAUUAAUUAUAUAAUUUAGAGUUAAUAAAUUUAAUUAAAGAAUUAUAAUAGUAAAGAUGAAAUAAUAAUAAUAAUUAUAAGACUAAUAUAUGUGAAAAUAUUAAUUAAAUAUUAACUGACAUUGAGGGAUUAAAACUAGAGUAGCGAAACGGAUUCGAUACCCGUGUAGUUCUAGUAGUAAACAAUGAAUACAAUUAUUUAUAAUAAAAUAUAUAUAUAUAAAUAAUAAAUGAAAAUGAAAGUAUUCCACCUGAAGAGUACGUUAGCAAUAAUGAAACUCAAAACAAUAGACGGUUACAGACUUAAGCAGUGGAGCAU